GAUGAAGAACGCAGCGAAAUGCGAUAAGUAAUGUGAAUUGCAGAAUUCCGUGAAUCAUCGAAUCUUUGAACGCACAUUGCGCCCCCUGGUAUUCCGGGGGGCAUGCCUGUCCGAGCGUCAUUGCAACCCUCAAGCGCGGCUUGUGUGUUGGGCUUCGUCCCCCCGUGGACGUGCCCGAAAGGCAGUGGCGGCGUCCCGAAUGGUGCCCGAGCGUAUGGGAACUCUCUUCCGCUCGAACCGGCCCAUUCGGCGCUGGUCGAACCCCAAUUUUUUGUUACCGGUUGACCUCGGAUCAGGUAGGGAUACCCGCUGAACUUAAGCAUAUCAAUAAGCGGAGGA
rnacentral:misc_RNA from 1 species